GACGAACGCUGGCGGCGUGCUUAACACAUGCAAGUCGAACGGAAAGGCCCUGCUUGCCUGGUGCUCGAGUGGCGAACGGGUGAGUAACACGUGGGUGAUCUGCCCUUCACCUCGGGAUAAGCCUGGGAAACUGCGUCUAAUACCGGACUGAUGCCCUUUUUAGUUGGAGGGUUGGAACGUUUUUUGGGUGUGGGAUGAGCGCGGGGCCUAUCAGCUUGUUGGUGGGUUAAUGGCCUGCCAAGGCGGCGACGUGUAGCCGGCCUGAGAGGGUGGACGGCCACAUUGGCACUGAGACAUGGGCCAGACGCCUACGGGAGGCAGCAGUGGGGAAGAGUGAACAAUGGGCGCAAGCCUGAUGCAGCGACGCCGGGUGGGGGAUUACUGACUUCGGGUUGUACACGCCGUUCGCUAGGGACGAAGCGGUUUGUGACGGUACCUAGAGAAGAAGCACCGGCUAACUACGUG
rnacentral:rRNA from 1 species